GGCCCGUAGUCGCGGAAAAGAGGAGGGGCCGAAUUGAGCGCGCUUCGGAGUCCUUCUUCCGUGAAGGAUUUGAUCACCAUGGCAGAGGCUCAACCUGUUUGUAGCUUCCUCUUCAAAAAGCGUCGCUCCGCUCCCGGGAGGGCUCAACGUAAGAGGCCGAGCAGCGACCAGGACCCCGGUAACAGCAGUGAUGAAGGCAGCACUGUAGUCAGGAAGGAGAGACGAAAGGAAGUUUCCAAUCCCAUGAUUCAGAAGACGAAGAAAAGUAUGAAGACAAAGACUUCCUAUGAGUCAAGCAGUAACGAUGAUGAUGACAAACCUGAAGGACUUGGAAUUGCAUAUAAAUCAACACGAUCCGCGAAACCUGUGGGUCCAGAGGACAUGGGUGCGACAGCUGUAUAUGAACUGGACACAGAGAAGGACAAAGAUGCCCAAGCCAUUUUUGAACGUAGCCAGCAAAUACAGAAGGAACUUCAAGGAAAGGAAGAUGAUAAGAUAUAUAGAGGGAUUAAUAAUUAUCAAAAGUAUGUAAAGCCAAAAGAUACAUCCAUGGGAAAUGCUUCUUCAGGCAUGGUAAGGAAGGGACCAAUCCGAGCCCCAGAACAUCUCAGGGCCACUGUGAGGUGGGAUUACCAGCCUGAUAUAUGUAAAGACUACAAGGAAACUGGAUUUUGUGGCUUUGGAGAUAGCUGUAAAUUUCUGCAUGACCGAUCAGAUUAUAAGCAUGGGUGGCAAAUUGAACGGGAACUGGAUGAGGGACGCUAUGGACUUAAUGAUGAUGAAAAUUAUGAAGUAGGUAGUGAUGAAGAUGAACUGCCUUUCAAGUGUUUUAUUUGCAGAAACUCCUUCAAGAAUCCUGUGGUAACCAAGUGUAAACAUUACUUUUGUGAAAACUGUGCCCUACAACAUUAUCGCAAGUCUCAGCGAUGUUAUGUAUGUGACAAACAGACUAAUGGUGUCUUCAAUCCAGCCAAAGCUGCCGUUUGUUUAUAGGAGCUAGCUACCAAAGGAUGCACAGAAGGAAAUGUCUUUGGUGGAAUGCAGGACCAGAACUUGGAUCCUGAAUAUCUUAUCACCCCACCCAAGGAGAUCAGCUCCCUUGGGGUUUGGAAGUAAGUCCAUCAGUAUGGUACAGAAACAGUUCAGAUCAUCAGGAUUUCAGCUCUAUUUCUCUAUCCCUUAGAAGGCAUUCAACUCCCCUUGGCAGAUAUCUUUUUCAGCCAGCCCCAAGAAGUGAGAAGGAAUCCUUUUGACAAGUGGCAACACCUUGCAAUCCUCCCUGUUGGCUUCCCCACUGAUUUAAGAUUAAAUGGUUCCAAAGCAGCAGUACAUUCUUGUUUCUCCUACUUACACUCCAACAACACAAGAGUGAAAAAAGGAUAAAAUAUGUCAGAGCAAGUGGCUGAAACUUACCUGUUUGAAAAAAGAAUGGUUCAGCAAUGCAUUUGCACUUGGCCUGCGUAUGAAAAAAAUGAGAGGUUGUACAGCAGCAUGUAAAAGAUGCAGAGAUUGGAGAAAGGCCAGAAACUUCUCCCUUCAGAAUAUAUAUACGAUUCAAAUAUAAAAAAAUAUGGCUGAGAGAGAGAAAAAUGCCAGCAUCAAAAGCCAGGAUACUGAUUUUGCAAUGGCAGGCAUGCCUAUGUUUUUUCCCUCCGUUUUUUUGCAUGAAUGUUUCUGAGCUUUUCCAGGAAGAAAAGAAGGUGGGCUGUUGGCUCAUGGAAAAGUAAAAUAAGAGACCUCCUUCAGUUUUGGAAAGCCAGUGUUAUGCUCUAUAGCAGCUGUUACCUGGCAGUAUGUUAUUUGCCCUCAAUCAGUAGAAUGAAUAAAAGGGUAUUCUCUAAAGCAAUGAUAUCACGAGAGCCCUUCAUUCAAGCUCACAUAUUGAUUGGAUAAGCAACUGUUUUUCCUAAACAUAAAGUUAGUGCUUGCUGGAGAUUUUUGUCCAGACACUGGAGGAAGAGUGAGAUUUAGUCUUAUCCUCUGCUGGUAGUGACCUGACCAAUUUUACUAUGCACAAUAAGGAAUAAUUCACCUCUGAGCCAGGCACUGUCUCACAUUAGCAUAAACCCAUAGGUCACAUAAGCUAAGAGAUAUUGAAUGGAGGCAAACAAGUAGUUCAAUUCUGUGUUUAUCUAAUUACUAAACAACCUCAUUUGCAGAGGGAUUCAUUUGAAAAUUCUACAAUGAGUGGGACAAAAUAUCAUGCAUAAAGUGCAUUUGCACAUCUAAUUUCAGCAAGCUAAUAACAGUAGAAUUUUUCCCCUGGAAAAUGAAGUUUUGGGCUAAUUUCAGGAAACAAAACAUCACUAUGUUACUUGGUUCCUUUGUGAUAUACUAAUAUUUAUUUUUCUCUUUAAAUCUUUGGUUAAAAUUAUUCAUGAAGGAAAUCAGACUGUUUUGGCAUAAGGCCUGGAUAUCUGAGGGAUCACCUAUCCUCAAUUGUUUCUCCCCAUCUGAUACAUUCCAGAAUAGUGGAUGCAUUCCAGGUUGCCUCUGAUAAAUAUUGUCAUCUUGUGGGAACAAGGAAGUCUGUCUUCUCUAUUAUGGUACCCACCCUAUGGACAGAAUUCUCCCAGAAAUGCAGCCAGUGCUUCCGUUAUGGGAUUCUGAAAAGCUCUGAAGACCCAUGGUUAAUGCGUUUCUGGGGGCCCUAUUGUGGCUUUUGCCACUGUUAUGACUGUUUCAGUCUGGGCUGCCUAAAUUGGUGCAGGUUUUCAAGUAUUGUUUUCGUUCUUGGAUUUUGCUCACUGGGCAGCCGCAAAAAUAAAUAAAUAAAUGGGGGUGGAACCCUGUAUUCAUGCUGAUUUGAUUACUUUGGUAUAUGCAUGCACAUUGUUAGUGCAGUUAUACACUGAUGUCAUUGUUAAUGCUUUUUGCUGCAAAAUAUAUAAGCCUGUUGAUUUGA